rnacentral:rRNA from 1 species
AUUGAACGCUGGCGGCAUGCUUUACACAUGCAAGUCGAACGGUAACAGGGGAGCUUGCUCCCGCUGACGAGUGGCGAGCGGGUGAGUAAUGCAUCGGAACGUGCCGAAUAGUGGGGGAUAACGCACCGAAAGGUGUGCUAAUACCGCAUACGCCCUGAGGGGGAAAGUGGGGGACCGCAAGGCCUCACGCUAAUCGAGCGGCCGAUGCCGGAUUAGCUAGUUGGGGGGGUAAAGGCUCAACAAGGCGACGAUCCGUAGCGGGUGUGAGAGGAUGAUCCGCCAGACAGGGACUGAGACACGGCCCAGACUCCUACGGGGGGCAGCAGUGGGGAAUUUUGGACAAUGGGGGAAACCCUGAUCCAGCCAUGCCGCGUGUCUGAAGAAGGCCUUCGGGUUGUAAAGGACUUUUGUCCGGGAGGAAACCCUGAUCGUUAAUAGCGGUCGGGACUGACAGUACCGGAAGAAUAAGCACCGGCUAACUACGUGCCAGCAGCCGCCGUAAUAC